rnacentral:rRNA from 1 species
UUGUCCAGCACGUAAAGGUGGGACUCUAUAGGAGACUGCCGGUGACAAACCGGAGGAAGGUGGGGAUGACGUCAAGUCAUCAUGGCCCUUAUGGGCAGGGCUACACACGUACUACAAUGGUUGGUACAACGAGUUGCGAGUCGGUGACGGCGAGCUAAUCUCUUAAAGCCAAUCUCAGUUCGGAUUGUAGGCUGCAACUCGCCUACAUGAAGUCGGAAUCGCUAGUAAUCGCGGAUCAGCACGCCGCGGUGAAUACGUUCCCGGGCCUU